AAAGUCGUAACAAGGUCUCCGUUGGUGAACCAGCGGAGGGAUCAUUAC
rnacentral:rRNA from 3 species